CGACCCCAGGUCAGGCGGGGCCACCCGCUGAGUUUAA
rnacentral:rRNA from 5 species